GGGAAUCCCUCGAAAAAAAUUUUUUCCGUGGGGAACCCCUAUCGAAGUUGAUGAGCACUGUAAUCUGUGGGCCAUAACCCAUUAAGGUGGGGUGAUAACCAUGUGUAGAUUGAGUUCCCACGCUUUCAUCGCAUGGGAGUCCCUUGAAGAUGCCAAAGGUCACAUGAGUAUAAUACUAAUAACUGAUGAUAUCAAGGCUGGAUGGAAACUCUGAGGGCUAGAGGAGCAUUUGCAAGACAACAAGAACAAAGUCCCAAUAUGGGCUGGUUCCACCAACAAUGUGGCACAAGCUUACGGAUUUAUUCAGACUUCGUCCACCAGGAGUAGAAAGCAGGAGUGUUGCCUGUUGGUAGGAGCUCCAGAAAGGCUGGCAGAACAAGAAAACUUGGCAUUGGCUGAGAAACAGACAUGCUGGCAAGUGGGCAAGAAAUAUAAGAACAGCGGUCUGUAAAUGGAGGUCACAAAACUAUGUACUGCAAGGCUAAGUAAUGUUGUAGUGUAAUGGAGCCCAGCAGUUCAGAAAAGAGUCAAUAGGUGGCAGCAGAGUAUUACAAUUAUAGUACUAACUAGAGCUGUAUGGUAUGUCCUGAAGUGGGUGCGUUCACACGGAGUAAUUCAAGAGGAAUUUACUCGAGUAAUCCCUCUUGAAUUCUCCGCUCCAAAUUAAUGCACGUCCCCUCUGCCCAUUGACUUUAUGUUAUUUCUGCUGUCCUGUUCACACUGCGGAAAUUCUGCUAGCAGAAUUCCGACGCUGAAUUCCGUUCCGCUUGAAGAAAGAGCAUGUUCAUUCUUCAAGUGGAAUCCGCUAGCAGAAAUCAAUUGAAGUCAAUGGUAAAAAAAAAUUCCGCCCGACAUCGUUUUCGUGCGGAAUUCACGCGCAAUUCGCUGGCAAUUUGCGUGAAAUUCGAGCGCAAUUUGUGCGGAAAUGGCUGAAAAACCCUUCACUUUUUUCUCUCCCAUGUCCAUGCGCAAUUCCGUGUGUAUUUCUGUGUGCAAUUCUGCGCAAAUUGCGCGCGAAUUGCGCAUGAAUUUCCCGCAAAUUUCAUGCAAAAAUACAAUUAUUUUUUUCGCCCGUAAAUUUUUCAGAGUGAAUUACUCUUCAUUUACUCCGUGUGAACGCACCCUAACAGUGUCCAAAUGCAUAAUGUCUCCUCAAUGAACAAAAUAUAGGCUCACCACCCCUCUAGUGCAGGAAAGUCCUGUGGGCCACCAGUCACAAUAUGAAGGAGCCGAGAGAAGGCAGGAGAGGGAGAAACACUGGGUUUAUUGAGGAAGAGCCCCUGGUAGUCAGAAGUUUUGCUACCACAGUGAGGAAGGUCCCAGAUGUCUGCAGCGGACCUUGAUGAUUCACAGUAGGGCUCGGCAGGUGAACAUGGCGAUGUAGGGGUGGCCGUGGCUUCACUGUAGGAGAUAGGCCAACAGAAAAUAUAAUUAGGAGACCAAGAGACCCCACAAUCUAGUGUUGGGGAGAUGGCUAGGGGUAGAAAGAUCACAAUGUGCCAAAAAAAAGUGUCUGUGCCAGAGAGCUCAUUCUGCAUCAUUGGCUGCCAGGCUCUACCCAUAAUUUUAUUUUAUAUUAGUAAAUGACCUAUACAACAGGGGCAAAUAAAACAAAGCUCUGUAGUUCACAUCCUGUUCCUUCAUUUUUGAAGGUGUGUAACACUAAGUAGUUCUUAAUAAUCCUAAUAAACAAAUGAAUACCUCAAAGUCAAGCUACUUAAAAGAUAAAUGAAAGAUUUAUUGCAGUAUAAAAGUAGAAAAUAUAAGGUAAAGGUUUACAGCAGGAAGUAUAGAGUUCCAGGAACCAGCAAAGACAGAUGAAAAACUCAGAUGAAUAUGACCAUCCUAGCAUUACAAUAUAUCAGAAGACACAGGAGAAUAGGCUUUGCUUCAGUCAGAUUUGGGAGCAAGUAUUGGGUGGGACGGUUCUCCUAGAUUAUUAAUAUCAGUUAUUUCUGUCCACAUAUCUAUUUCCGUCCACAUGUCAAUGCUUUGUGCCACCCAGGAAAAAAAUUUAAUUCUAACCAUGUGAUACAGGUAUCCUACUUGUCUUCACAUUAUUUUUCCCACAGUACUGGAUGUUUGUUGAAGCUGUAAAACUGAAAUUGGCACUGUGGUAAACAUUUGGUGCUCUUCACGGAUAAGGAUGGAGAUUUAUCAUUAAAUUUAGAGCUCUUUUCUUACAUUUGGUGCCUCAUGUUAUAUGGGUAGUGUGUAUAUUUAAGGGACUGUUAGGAAUCGGAUAGCUGGAUGUGGAUCCUCUGUGUCAGCGAGGGAUUGGCGUGGACCGCGUCGGUGGACCGGUUCUAGGGUUGCUACUGGUUUUCACCAGAGCCUGCCGCAAAGCGGGAUGGUCUUGCUGCGGCGGUAGCAACCAGGUCGUAUCCACCGGCAACGGCUCAACCUCGCUGACUGCUGAGAAGGCGUGGGACAGAAGGACUAGGCAGAAGCAAGGUCAGACGUAGCAGAAGGUCGGGGCAGGCGGCAAGGUUCGUAGUCAAUGAGGAUAGCAGGAGAUCUGG